rnacentral:lncRNA from 1 species
CUCACCACAGGGCACCCUCUCCAGAGACCCUUUGCAACCAGGCUGGCUGUUGCUUCAAGGCCAGCAGAAGAAUCACUUCUUUUCAGUUCACCAUGAUAGUCAUAAAUUAUAUUAGCCAGUCAAGAAUGCCGCUUUCCAUAUUCAUCACCUGGUCAUGUUCUCAAGCCUCCAGAUGGUCUCCAAAAGGCUGGCUGUGAGCACAUACGUGUGCAUGCCCUGUCCUAUCUGGAAAAUGCUGCUUUCUUGACGUCAUCCACCACCUCUGGCUCUUACAUCAUCCAGUGCUUUGCCACACAAAGGAAACAGCUGUUGGGCAGUGUGUUGCCAUGGAGAUGCUGGCAGCUGUCUGGAUUGCACCGCAGCUAUUGCCUCUGACACUUUCCUGACAGGAGCCCACCUGCCUGUGUCCUUCUUCCAGAUUCGCCUCUGUCUGAGAGCAGCUACAAGGACAGUCUCAUCCGAGUGAAAACCAUUGUCCAUGCCUCCCUGGAGAGCAAGGACCAGGCCUCACUCAGGGUUGUGAGCUCCACAGCAGAGUGCUGUCCAUAGCACAUGUUUAAUCAAUGUUUUGGCCGGGGGGGUGGGGGUGGGGGGUGGCGAUGCAAGGACUAAAUAGAUGGCUCAGCUGUUAAAAGAACUUGCUCUUCUUCCGGAGGACCCCGUUCAACUCCUGUUGCUCACAUGGUGGCUCACGAGCAUGUGACUCCAUUGCCAGGGAACCCGAUACUUUCUUCUGGCUUCCGGGGACACUGGACAUAGAUGGAGUAUACAGACACACAUGCUGGCAAAAUACCCAUACUAAUAAAAUAA